GAUGAACGCUGGCGGCGUGCCUAAUACAUGCAAGUCGAGCGAACGGACGAGAAGCUUGCUUCUCUGAUGUUAGCGGCGGACGGGUGAGUAACACGUGGAUAACCUACCUAUAAGACUGGGAUAACUUCGGGAAACCGGAGCUAAUACCGGAUAAUAUUUUGAACCGCAUGGUUCAAAAGUGAAAGACGGUCUUGCUGUCACUUAUAGAUGGAUCCGCGCUGCAUUAGCUAGUUGGAAAGGUAACGGCUUACCAAGGCAACGAUGCAUAGCCGACCUGAGAGGGUGAUCGGCCACACUGGAACUGAGACACGGUCCAGACUCCUACGGGAGGCAGCAGUAGGGAAUCUUCCGCAAUGGGCGAAAGCCUGACGGAGCAACGCCGCGUGAGUGAUGAAGGUCUUCGGAUCGUAAAACUCUGUUAUUAGGGAAGAACAUAUGUGUAAGUAACUGUGCACAUCUUGACGGUACCUAAUCAGAAAGCCACGGCUAACUACGUG
rnacentral:rRNA from 1 species